rnacentral:rRNA from 1 species
AACGAACGCUGGCGGCAGGCCUAACACAUGCAAGUCGAACGCCGUAGCAAUACGGAGUGGCAGACGGGUGAGUAACACGUGGGAACGUACCCUUCGGUUCGGGAUAACUCAGGGAAACUUGAGCUAAUACCGGAUACGUCCGGGAGGAGAAAGAUUUAUCGCCGAGGGAUCGGCCCGCGUCUGAUUAGCUUGUUGGUGAGGUAACGGCUCACCAAGGCGACGAUCAGUAGCUGGUCGAGAGGAUGAUCAGCCACAUUGGGACUGAGACACGGCCCAAACUCCUACGGGAGGCAGCAGUGGGGAAUAUUGGACAAUGGGCGCAAGCCUGAUCCAGCCAUGCCGCGUGAGUGAUGAAGGCCCUAGGGUUGUAAAGCUCUUUUACCCGGGAAGAUAAUGACUGUACCGGGAGAAUAAGCCCCGGCUAACUUCGUGCCAGCCGCCGCCGUAAC